AAGGCUAAAUACUACCUAGUGACCGAUAGUGAACCAGUACCGUGAGGGAAAGGUGAAAAGAACCCCGGGAGGGGAGUGAAAGAGAACCUGAAACCGUGUGCUUACAAGUAGUCAGAGCCCUUUAGGGGGUGAUGGCGUGCCUUUUGUAGAAUGAACCGGCGAGUUACUUUAUCAUGCGAGGUUAAGUGGAAGACAUGGAGCCGAAGCGAAAGCGAGUCUUAAUAGGGCGAAAUAGUAUGAUGGAGUAGACCCGAAACCAAGUGAUCUACCCAUGGCCAGGUUGAAGUUUAGGUAACACUGAAUGGAGGACCGAACCAGGACACGUUGAAAAGUGUUUGGAUGAGCUGUGGGUAGCGGAGAAAUUCCAAUCGAACUUGGAAAUAGCUGGUUCUCUCCGAAAUAGCUUUAGGGCUAGCCUCGUUGUGAGUUUACUGGAGGUAGAGCACUGUUUGGACUAGGGGCCCAUCCCGGGUUACCGAAUUCAGACAAACUCCGAAUGCCAGAUAAAUAUCAACGGGAGUCAGACUGCGGGUGAUAAGGUUCGUAGUCGAAAGGGAAACAGCCCAGACCGCCAGCUAAGGUCCCAAAUUGUAUGUUAAGUGGAAAAGGAUGUGAUGAUGCACAGACAACCAGGAUGUUGGCUUAGAAGCAGCCACCAUUUAAAGAGUGCGUAAUAGCUCACUGGUCGAGUGACAUCGCGCCGAAAAUGUACCGGGGCUAAACAUACAACCGAAGCUGCGGAUAUAACUAAUGUUAUAUGGUAGGAGAGCGUUCUAACAUCAUAGAAGCCGAGCUGGAAGGCGAGGUGGAGAGGUUAGAAGUGAGAAUGCCGGUGUGAGUAGCGAAAGAUAGGUGAGAAUCCUAUCCACCGAAAGACUAAGGUUUCCAGAGGAAGGCUCGUCCGCUCUGGGUAAGUCGGGACCUAAGGUGAAGCCGACAGGUGAAGCCGAUGGACAACAGGUAGAAAUUCCUGUACCACCAAAUAUCGAUUGAGAGAAGUGGGGACAGAGGAGGCUAAUUGAUCGUCCUGAUGGAAUAGGACGUCUAAGCACAAAGGUUGAGUAGUAGGCAAAUCCGCUGCUCAUAAGACUGAAGUGUGAUGGGGAGCGAAAUUAAAGUAGCGAAGUCAAUGAAGCCAAACUCUCAAGAAAAGCCGCUAUCGAGAUAAGAGGUGCCCGUACCGCAAACCGACACAGGUAGUUGGGAAGAGAAUUCUAAGGUGAGCGAGAGAACCAUCGUUAAGGAACUCGGCAAAAUGACCCCGUAACUUCGGGAGAAGGGGUGCCUACGAGAGUAGGCCGCAGUGAAUAGGCCCAAGCGACUGUUUAACAAAAACACAGGUCUCUGCAAAACCGAAAGGUGAAGUAUAGGGGCUGACGCCUGCCCGGUGCUGGAAGGUUAAGAGGAGUGCUUAGAGGUAACUCGAAGGUAUGAAUUGAAGCCCCAGUAAACGGCGGCCGUAACUAUAACGGUCCUAAGGUAGCGAAAUUCCUUGUCGGGUAAGUUCCGACCCGCACGAAAGGCGUAACGAUUUGGGCACUGUCUCAACGAUGGACUCGGUGAAAUCAUAGUACCUGUGAAGAUGCAGGUUACCCGCGACAGGACGGAAAGACCCCAUGGAGCUUUACUGUAGCUUGAUAUUGAAUUUUGAUGCAGUAUGUACAGGAUAGGUAGGAGCCUAGGAAUCAUGCACGCCAGUGUAUGAGGAGGCGCUGUUGGGAUACUACCCUUGCUGUAUUGAAAUUCUAACCCUCGGCAAAGACCGGGAGACAGUGUCAGGUGGGCAGUUUGACUGGGGCGGUCGCCUCCCAAAGAGUAACGGAGGCGUUCAAAGGUUCCCUCAGAAUGGUUGGAAAUCAUUUGCAGAGUGUAAAGGCACAAGGGAGCUUGACUGUGAGACUUACAAGUCGAGCAGGUGCGAAAGCAGGACUUAGUGAUCCGGUGGUUCCGCAUGGAAGGGCCAUCGCUCAACGGAUAAAAGCUACCCUGGGGAUAACAGGCUUAUC
rnacentral:rRNA from 1 species